rnacentral:lncRNA from 1 species
UGGUUAGAAAGAUAGACGGAGUUUGGGGAGAGUUUUAUUUGACCAGUGUUUUAAAUUUAGUGGUCCAUAUUAGAUAAUCAAUAACUUAGGUACUCCCUAGUAACUUAUGAAACUUCGUAAUAGAUGCUUGAAUUAUGAUUUUAUAAUUUGUAAUAUUGUUUUGCAUAUGAUUUUUGAAUGAAAUGUAUUAUAUUUAAAUUUUCAAUGUUGUUUUUGUCUAUAAAUUUUUUGACCUUUAUUAUUGGGACCCCUCGAGUUUAAAAUCCUAGAUCCGACACUGGGUGGAAGUGUCAUCUAUAUUAUUCCCAUGAAUUGAACACCUAGCCUUCAAGUGUUAAUCUUUUAUAUAUAGGGAUAGGUAAAAUACCUACGAAUAUGAGUAACUAUGAUUCCCCAUUUAUUUAAAAUUCACAGUUACAGUUAUACGUAACCGUUUAGAUAAGUAAACAAUUAUGAAUUUAACUCCUUACCCGUGAAAUUUAAAUGGUGGUUAUGGGUAUUGCCCGUGGUUAUAAUGGGUGCCCAUUUACUCGUUUAUUUUAAUAUAUGUAAAAUUAAAAAAAAAAAUCUAAAGCAUUAGAGUGUUCGGAAGACUAGUUUUGGAAUAUUUUG